rnacentral:rRNA from 1 species
UACGAAGGGAGCUAGCGUUGUUCGGAAUCACUGGACGUAAAGCGCACGUAGGCGGAUGUGUCAGUCAGGGGUGAAAUCCCGGAGCUCAACUCCGGAACUGCCUUUGAUACAGCACGUCUUGAGUCCAAGAGAGGUGGGUGGAAUUCCUGGUGUAGCGGUGGAAUGCGCAGAUAUCGGGAGGAACACCUGUGGCGAAGGCGGCCCCCUGGUUGGAUACUGACGCUGAUACGCGAAAGCGUGGGGAGCAAACAGG